GUAGGUUUGUACUCCGUGGCUCGAAGGACACGCUGGCGGCGUGCCUAACACAUGCAAGUCGAGCGAAGUGCUUUAAGUGGAACCUUUCGGGGUGAAACUUGAAGCACUUAGCGGCGGACGGGUGAGUAACGCGUGAGGAACCUACCUCCCACAAGGGGAUAGCCUCGGGAAACCGGGAUUAAUACCCUAUGACACUUAGGUGUCGCAUGACACCUAGGUUAAAGCGCUUUAGCGUGGGAGAUGGCCUCACGUCCCAUUAGCUAGUUGGUGAGGUAACGGCUCACCAAGGCGACGAUGGGUAGCCGGCCUGAGAGGGUGACCGGCCACACUGGGACUGAGACACGGCCCAGACUCCUACGGGAGGGCAGCAGUGGGGAAGUAUUGCACAAUGGGCGAAAGCCUGAUGCAGCGACGCCGCGUGAGCGAAGAAGGCCUUCGGGUCGUAAAGCUCUGUCCUAUGGGACGAUAAUGACGGUACCAUAGGAGGAAGCCCCGGCUAACUACGUG
rnacentral:rRNA from 1 species